ensembl:lncRNA
UACAAGGUGACUGUUAAGAGGUGUGCUACAAGGUGACUGUUAAGAGGUGUGCUACAAGGUGACUGUUAAGAGGUGUGCUACAAGGUUACCGUUAAGAGGUGUGCUACAAGGCGACUGUUAAGAGGUGUGCUACAAGGCGACCGUUAAGAGGUGUGCUACAUGGGGAGUUUAAUCAAAUCCACAUUACCACCACGUGAGUGAGGACGGCACGUCUACCACCAACAAAGACGGCUACAUCACCUGAUAAACCUACCUUUGUCCUUCAAGCAUCAGCUUUAGCGACCGGCAAAUGAAAAAGUUGCAGUUAAUGCAAACAUACUGACUCCAGAAUAGAUAUCCAAGGCAAACGUUACAGUGCGACGCGUCCGGUGUGGUGCCAGUUACCCAUUUCUCCGUCAGUGACCAAAUGGACCAGCUCCUCGUCCGUCACCUCUGUGGUGGGGGGCGGCGGAACCGAGGGGCGCUGGUCUCUG